rnacentral:rRNA from 1 species
CCUACGGGAGGCAGCAGUGAGGAAUAUUGGUCAAUGGACGAGAGUCUGAACCAGCCAAGUAGCGUGAAGGAUGACUGCCCUAUGGGUUGUAAACUUCGUUUAUAUGGGAAUAAAAUGUUCCACGUGUGGGAUUUUGUAUGUACCAUAUGAAUAAGGAUCGGCUAACUCCGUGCCAGCAGCCGCGGUAAUACGGAGGAUCCGAGCGUUAUCCGGAUUUAUUGGGUUUAAAGGGAGCGUAGGUGGAUUGUUAAGUCAGUUGUGAAAGUUUGCGGCUCAACCGUAAAAUUGCAGUUGAAACUGGCAGUCUUGAGUAUAGUAGAGGUGGGUGGAAUUCGUGGUGUAGCGGUGAAAUGCUUAGAUAUCACGAAGAACUCCGAUUGCGAAGGCAGUUCACUGGACUGCAACUGACACUGAGGCUCGAAAGUGUGGGUAUCAAACAGGAUUAGAUACCCCAGUAGUC